GGCCGGUCGGUUUGGUCGGUUGUAGUGGCCUCGCCGCCCGGUCCGCUGUCGCAGCGCUCAUCCGCGCCGGGAGCCCUUGGCUGCGUCGCCCGGCAGCCGCGCCUCGCGAGACCGCUGUCUACGGCGCUGACGCCGCCUCUGCCUCUUGACCCCUUGGCCCCGCUGUCCUGAUCCCUGAGGUCGGGGCCUGGUCUGCACUCCAGGAAAGACGAGUGCGCUUAGUGUGCGCUGCACGUGAGCAGUGAAGUUGAUUCCACGCGCUGCGCUGCUCGGCAGCUGUCCCAGAACUGACCACGGACCCCUCCGCGGGUCCUGCUCCUGACAAGGGCCUUCCGGCACUGGGAGUUUUGUGUUAGUGGAAAGGAAGAAUCUAAUAAUACCACCACCUUUACAGUAAAGACGCUGCGAAUUGACGCCUUUUAUAAUAAAGACACUUAUCUUGCCCAAGAGCUGGGCUGGAGUGUAGUGGCGCAAUCUUGGAUCACCACAACCUCCGUCUCCCAGGUUCAAGCGAUUCUCCCGCCUCAGCCUCCUGAGUAGCAAUUACAGGUAAAGGUUGUGGCCAGAAAGCACGGGCAGCCUGGGACUCCUGUUGCCAUAGCAACCCAGCUACCGCCGAGGACUUCUGCGGCUUUUCCAGCCCAGCAGCAGCCGCUCCAGGUACUUUCUGAUGGCUCCACAGUGCAGCUCCCCAGACUUUCCUCACUCGGAUUUGAGGACUCGAUGUGCUGAGGCAGGACCCAGAGGGGUCCCAAGAGCCUGUCCUCUUUUGUUCAAAAUACAUCUUGAAACGUCUUUGUGAAGGCUCUUAGUUUUAAUGCAUGGAUGCUGUUAUUUUUCCCUACUGUUACUGAAAUUAAAAAGUGUUUGUCUCUGA
rnacentral:lncRNA from 1 species